UACGUAGGGUGCAAGCGUUAAUCGGAAUUACUGGGCGUAAAGCGUGCGCAGGCGGUUUUGUAAGUCUGAUGUGAAAUCCCUGGGCUCAACCUGGGAAUUGCGUUGGAGACUGCAAGGCUAGAAUCUGGCAGAGGGGGGUAGAAUUCCACGUGUAGCAGUGAAAUGCGUAGAGAUGUGGAGGAACACCGAUGGCGAAGGCAGCCCCCUGGGUCAAGAUUGACGCUCAUGCACGAAAGCGUGGGGAGCAAACAGG
rnacentral:rRNA from 1 species